CUGCUCAGCUUCUUCCACUUUUUCUUGCCCAGAGGAGGACAUUCAGCUCCAGGAGCCUUAAGAGUCUGCCAGGGGGCCAGGCAAAGGUGAGGGUGGCUGCAGCUCAGGUGGCCUUUUCUUCUGUAGGGCUACUCUCCAAGCACAGCCUGGUUCUUGUAGACUGAUGCCAAGUAAAGCCCUCCAGUGGUUCCGCCUAGCCACAAAGGGGGACUGCUGCUCACCAGGUGAGUUUUGACAAGAAAGGCAACCUCCUGCCAGCGGUUAUCUGUGCUCACUGAUGCUGGCUGGGGAGCCCAAGGGAGGCCGGCCGUGGUCUGGCUGCUCUGGGGAGAUGAUGGGUGCCUGUCCCCAGGAGCUCCGAAGAUGGGAUUGGGCUCUUUGCCCCCCAGCAAGGAGCCAGGUGUGGGGCAGUGCUCCAGCCUGCACUCUUGGAAGGCAGCUUCUCAGCCAAGCAAGUGUCCCCAUACCUCUCCUGCAGGAGCUGUUGGCUGUCCUGUAGCAGGAAGGGCUGUCAGUGGAGGGGAUAUUCUGCCUAGCUGCUGGCAGUACAGUGCUUGGGGAGCUGCUGUGGACAGGGUUGCCCUGCCCAAGGAGGCCCUGGACUGGCAUGCAGCCAUUGACCUGGAAAGCCAACCUGCCAUACUGCUGCAUGUUAUCUUGAAGGUGACCACUUCUGACCUGCAGCUCCAUGGAGGAGCCCCUGGCUACCUGCCUGGAGGGUGCAAAGGCUCACAUGGAAGUCUUGGCCUAGCAGGACUUCCUCCAAAGUAUCUCCUUCAUGCUCCUCAUGAACAGGCUCUACAAGGACUGGAUGGCAACCAAGCAGAAGACCACCACAAGAAGGUGGAAGGGCUGAAAGCAUAAGCAUGGGCAGCAGCCUGCCUGUUGAGCAGGAGCCCUGAUCAAUGGCUGAGAGCCCCUGGAAAGCUGUGCAGCAUGGCCACUGGCUUCCCUGCCUUGGGCAAGUGUGGGGACAGCUGUGGACAGCACAUAACUUGCUGAACCUUGUGUUCUUGUUCCUUCAGGGUGGCUGAGAAGUCGGCUGUGGCUGAUCUCCUCCUCACCCUAAAAGUGAGCUCCAAUGGCAGCCAGAGUGCUGAGGCUUUCAUGCAUCCCAGCGUGCUACACACUGUGACACUGGAGCAAGGAAGAGCACUCUCACUGUCAGCUCAGGAGCUGUUUUGCUCAUGAAUGUUCAAGUUACAAGUGCUUUUGGCCAAUGAAGCAAGGAACACGGGAAUCACAUCUUUACCUUUUAAUUGCCAGCCCUAGCAGAGCAAAUUCUGCACUCAGUCAUUUGUGCACAAAGUGCACAUUUGCUGGGCAUCACUGUUUGGUGCAAUGUGGUGUGCUGGUUUGGUGCAUUAAGAGCAGAGUCAGCAUCUGACUGAGUACCAAACAGCUGCAGAUACCACGUAAGACUGACAACUGCAUUUCAUCCUCCAGCAGUGCCUUUGGAACACCCCAGCUUCAGUUGGCACAUCUGCCCAGGCAGGGAAUGAGGCCAUCCCAGAGAAGAGAUGGAAACUGCUCUGUGUGCACAUCAGUUUCAGGUUCUGUAUUCCCACCCAGGACUUGUUGCAGUCUGAACUCAUCUUCCCAUCUGGAUCCUCCAUCAGUGACACUUUACUCUGACAGGUAUCUGUUGUGCAUUACAGCAGUUCAGAGCUAAAUAAUUUAUUUUGGAAGCGGGUUUUACACAUAGCUUAGAAAAUGGAAGAGAACAGGAAUAUUGCAGCAGUGAACUGUGUGGUAGACAAAUACAUUCUGCCCUACAGUUUCUAAACAAUUGCACUUUGCCAUCCAUUGUUUCAAAAUUGAUUUCUCUCCCAUUAUUACCCUCAAACUAAAAACCUGAUCCAAAAAGCUUUUUGUUUUUCCAGGGUGAUUCAUUGAUUUCCAUUUGUAAUAAUAAAGGUGAAAAUAAAGGAGAAUAAACAAACGGAAAA